rnacentral:rRNA from 1 species
UACGGAAGGCAGCAGUGGGGAAUAUUGGACAAUGGGCGCAAGCCUGAUCCAGCCAUGCCGCGUGUGUGAAGAAGGCCUUCGGGUUGUAAAGCACUUUUGUCCGGAAAGAAAAGCUUAGGGUUAAUAACCUUGAGUCAUGACGGUACCGGAAGAAUAAGCACCGGCUAACUUCGUGCCAGCAGCCGCGGUAAUACGAAGGGUGCAAGCGUUACUCGGAAUUACUGGGCGUAAAGCGUGCGUAGGUGGUUUUGUUAAAGUCUGAUGUGAAAGCCCUGGGCUCAACCUGGGAAUGGCAUUGGAAACUGGCUUACUAGAGUGCGGUAGAGGGGUGUGGAAUUCCCGGUGUAGCAGUGAAAUGCGUAGAUAUCGGGAGGAACAUCUGUGGCGAAGGCGACACCCUGGACCAGCACUGACACUGAGGCACGAAAAGCGUGGGGAGCAAACAGGAUUAGAUACC